ACCACUUUGACUGACUUGGUGAGUGUCAAGACUGACUCUUCACUUGCAAGUGAAAAUUUGCUGCCUUCAUCCUCCAAUAAAAAUGUAGAAACUGACAGAAGUGAGAAUGGAACCCUGUGAGGUAACCCUGGGCCUCCCUCUGCGGUGAUUGGUUAGCACUGAGCUUCCACCUAACAAUCCAGUUCGCUGUAAAGCAGUCAAGCCAAUCCAACCAUCUUGUUUAUGAAAUCACUUCCCUCGUUCGUGAAUUAUCUCCCUAAGAGAAAAGUGAACUUCAAAUUUUUGACACCAGACAUAUUUCAAAUUUAGAAAUAUAUGAUCAUUGGAGAGCUUCAAAAUCAAACAUUUCUGAAGUAGAACAAACAUUCAGACAAAGUGAGAUAAAGACUAAUAACAUUGAUAUUUCCGAGGCAAAAUAUCAAUGUGCAUAUAAGAAUUCCCUUAGAAGAGGCAUUCAGACAAAAACUUGGAGGAUGACAUGGCACCAGCCAAAUGAGAAGUACAGGGGAGAAGUAAUGUUUCAGGAAGUGGGCAUAUGUGAUGGCACAGGUGAGAGAAAUCCAUCCAAUGAGGCUGAAGAAUCUCGAAAGUUUGGAGCAAAGAGGAAGACGAAGCAUAAUGAGAGAGAGCUCAUCACAAUGACUGGCAUGUGGUCAUAUAUAUUUAUGAAAGGAAGAAACAAAAAGAAGGAGGAGCAGGAAUGAAUUUAAGAAUGAAUGACUAAGGGCAGCCCGGGUGGCUCAGCAAUUUAGAGCAGCCUUCAGCCC